UGAGGAAUAUUGGGCAAUGCCCGCAAGGGUGACCCAGCAACGCCGCGUGGAGGAUGAAUGUCGUAAGAUUGUAAACUCCUGUUAGAGGGGAAGAAUAGUACCGGUUGGACCGGUAUAUGACUGUACCCUCAGAGAAAGCCCCGGCUAACUACGUGCCAGCAGCCGCGGUAAUACGUAGGGGGCAAGCGCUGUCCGGAUUUACUGGGUGUAAAGGGCGCGCAGGCGGGAUAAAAAGUCAGUGGUGAAAUCCUACAGCUUAACUGUAGAACUGCCUUUGAUACUUUUAUUCUUGAGUUCGGGAGAGAGAGACGGAAUUCCAGGUGUAGUGGUGAAAUACGUAGAUAUCUGGAAGAACACCAGUUGCGAAGGCGGUCUCUUGGUCCGACACUGACGCUGAGGCGCGAAAGCGUGGGGAGCAAA
rnacentral:rRNA from 1 species